rnacentral:rRNA from 1 species
GACGAACGCUGGCGGCGUGCUUAACACAUGCAAGUCGAGCGGUAAGGCCCUUUCGGGGGUACACGAGCGGCGAACGGGUGAGUAACACGUGGGUGACCUGCCCUCAGCUCUGGGAUAAAGCCUGGGAAACUGGGUCUAAUACCGGAUAUGACUCCAUGACGCAUGUUGUGGGGUGGAAAGCCUUGUGCGGCUGAGGAUGGGCCCGCGGCCUAUCAGCUUGUUGGUGGGGUGAUGGCCUACCAAGGCGACGACGGGUAGCCGGCCUGAGAGGGCGACCGGCCACACUGGGACUGAGACACGGCCCAGACUCCUACGGGAGGCAGCAGUGGGGAAUCUUGCGCAAUGGGCGAAAGCCUGACGCAGUGACGCCGCGUGAGGGAUGACGGCCU